GAGCACAUGGAAUCAGGCCCCGGUGACACUCUCGCCUAGGAGUGGUAGAGCCUUAUAUGGAAGCAGAGUGUACUUUUCGCUUUACUGGGGGAUCUUUAAAUAGCAGGGAACAGCAACUCAAAGCUUUUCAAAGAGCUACUUAAAGUUAUUUUUCUCCAUGACAACAGCCUGCCAAUAAGGAUAGAAUUUAAAGAACUAGGACCCUGAGUAGAAAGAGAAAAGGAAAAUUUCCCUGCUAGAUUGAAUGCUCAGAGAUGAACCACAGCCAGAGUGUAAAUUCCAUACAUUGACUCACAUCUAUUGAACAGAUGAGAUGAGCAAUCAGAGUGCACUCUUUAAUUAUCUGUGUGCGAGAUCAGGAGGAUAUUUAAAGGUGUUCACUUGGUGGUAGAUGUGGUGGAGGGAAACACUCACAGUCAUAUGCUAUGACUGCUAAUGUUGAAAUGAUGGAUUCAUUUUCUUCGGUGUUAUCCUUAGGGGUUUGGAGUACUAAUUUUGUUUCAGGUGCUUAAAGAUCAACUUCUAAAUAAUCCCCUUGGGUUUCCUGUGCCUACACCUUGCAAACUCGCCCUGCCUCCUGAAAUCCACCUCCCAGGAUAGGCUGUAGUGAAUUCAACUCCUGAUUUCCUCUUUUCCACCAAAUGAAAAUAUUCAGAUGACUUUUCAGGGAGCCCCCACAUAGUUAUGUUGUUUUAACCAAGAUUUUAUUUUUUUAGAGUAGUUUUAAGGUCACAAGUUGGUGAAGGUAAAGAGAUUUCCCAUAUACCCCUGCACCUACAUAUGCAGAGUCCCCCUCAUUAUAAAAAUCCCCCACUAGAGUGGUAUAUUUACUAUAAUUGGUGCACUUAUAUUGAUACAUCAUAAUCACCCAAAGUCCAUUGUUUACAUUAUGGUUCACACUUGGUACAUUCUGUGGGUUUGGACAAUUGUAUAAUGACAUAUUUACAUCAUUACGGUAUUGUACCAAGUAUUUUCACUGCCCUAAAAAUCCUCUAUGCUCCAUCUAGUCAUUCCUUCCCCAACCACCCAACCCUGGCAACCACUGAUUUUUUUAUUGUCUCUGUAGUUUUGCCUUUUCCAGAAUAUCAUAUAGUUGGAACUAUAAAGUAUACAGCCUUCUCAGAUUGGCUUCUAUCACUUUGCAUUUAAGUGUCUUCUAUUUCUUUUCAUGGCUUGAUAGAUCAUUUCAUUUUAGUGCUGAAUAACAAAUAGUCCAUUGUCUGGAUGUACCAGUUUAUUUACCCGUUCAUCUGUUGAAGGACGUCUUGGUUGCUUCCGAGUUUUGGCAACUAUGAACCCUAACUCCUGCUCUAAACAUCUGUGAGGAGGUUUUUAUGGGGACAUAAAUUUUCAUCUUCUUUGGAUAAAGGCCAAGAUGUGCAAUUGCCAGUUCUGCUGGAUUGUAUGGUAAGAGUAUGUUUAAUUUUAUAGGAAACUGCCAAACCGGCUUCCAAAAUAUUUUUUUCUGCAUUGUCACCAGCAGUGAAUGAGAGAUCCUGUUGCUCUGCAUCCCUGUGAGCAUUUGGUGUUGUCAGUGUUCUGGAUUUUGGCCAUUCUAUUGGUAUGCCAUUGUUAUUUUAAUUUGCAUUUCCCUGAUGACAUAUGAUGUGGAUCAUCUUUUCAUAUGCUUGUUUGCCAUUUGUAUAUCUUUUUUGGUGAGGUGUCUAUUAAGGUUUUUGGCCCAUUUUUUUUUUUAAAUGGCAAAAAUUUUGAGGUAAAAUUGGUAUAUAACAUUAUAUACAUUUCAGAUGUACAUUAUAAUCCAGCAUCUGUAGUAAUAUUUUUAAUUGGAUUAUUUGUUUUAUUAUUGUUGAAUCAGAUCAGAUUUUAUUUCUCUGCCACAUUUAUCCCCCACUUUGAAAGGAUUUGUGGGAUUUAUCUUCUACUCCUAAUUGGUCCCAAGAAUGAGGAUAGACUUGCUCUGACUUUCUUAACUUUCACCUCCAACCAAGUCCUAGUCAAACUUAGUAGCAUUAGCUUUAGAAUCAAUCAAUUCCAGAAAUGAAAUAAAUAUAAUUUUUUGUUAUAGGGAUACCCUCUAUAGUGUUCCUUACAAAUGCUCAUCUGGACUUUAACCAGUGACAGAUAGCUCUCUAGUUUGACAGUGGCAAGUUUCACCACCGACCAGUAUCAGAGAUUACCAUCUGUCUAACAGAUAUUAUUGGGCACCCUUUAUAUGUCAAGCUCUGAGCCAGGCACUGGAGCAGUGAAUCAAUCAGGCAAUUAAAAUCUUCCUUGUGGGGUAAAAGUGGUUUUUCUAUAAUGACUGGCUCUAGUCCUGCCUAUUGAAACAAUUUAAUUGGCCAUUCCAUUUCUCCAGAAGCUUGAAGAUGGCAAUCAGACCCCCUCGAAGUCUGUUGUCAUCCUGGUCACCCCUUCCUUUGGACACACUCCACUUGAUCAAUGACCCUUUCAAAGACGGCUGCUCAGAAUUUCUACUUCCUGGGCACUUCUGCCUCUGUUAGGGUACUCAGGUCUUAAUACAGUCACCUAAACCUGUGGAGUUACAUUGCUUGACCCGUUUCCUGAGUCUAGAGGUGCAAACAUGCAUAUGUAUAUAUCCCUUGGGGAGAAGGAGUUGAAAAGAUUAACUUCGACCUAGGGAGUUGUUUUUCUUCUGCUUCUUAACCAAAAAAAUAAAUGCGAUUGUAGCUUUGAAAACUGAAAUGCUAGCUUUUAAACAACUUGCAAAUAAUAGACUUCAAGAUUUCAAGGGGAAAAUGGGCUCCAUAAAAGUUCUGUGAUAGGAACCCCUACAUUGUCCUUUUAGUUGGUAAAUUGAGAAUAAGUGGUAAACAGAGAAUAAUCGCCUCUAAUACAUUUUGCUGAGAACUAAUGUCCCUCUGGCCAGUCAAUAAUGUUAACUUACAGAAAAGUGAGCAAGGUUUCUCCACUGCGACAACUUAAAUCGGUAAUGAUUACAGUCCUUGGAUUUUUACGCCCCUCCCCCACCUUCCAGCUUGACUUUGUUGGGGGGGGGAGGAGGAGCUCAGGCUGGCUGUUACACUAAAGCAUACUCCAAGCCACCCAUGACAAAGGUUUGUGGUUGAUAUAACCAACAAUCAGACAGUCCCUUUACUCUUAGACUUGGCUUCUUCCAGGGUUGAAAAACAUCAAACUCCCGGAAGAGGUGACUAUUUUCUCUUAUUUCAGGACUCUGAAGGAAUGAUUGUUCUCCUGACUGAUUAUUCUCUGCUCCCAUUUCCCACCUUGCUCUGCUCCCUGGAUGUGUUCUUUGCCUUCCUUAGCCCUACUCUUGGCCCCCAGAGGCUGGCCCUUGCUGUGGCAUCUCCUGCCUUGCCUCACUUGCUGUCCACUUUGACCAGUGGGAGGCCUAGGUAAGAGGGUGGGAAGAGAGUGAGAUCAGUGUAGAUCUUUCAAACCCUGCGCUUCUGUAGUGUGUCUUUAGAAGUAGCUGUGCCUUGGGACACCUGGGUGGCUCAGGGGUUGAACAUCUGCCUUUGGUUCAGGUCAUGAUUCCAGGGUCCUGGGAUCGAGUCCCUCAUUGGCCUUCCUGCAGGAAUCCUGCUUCUCCCUCUGCCUAUAUCUCUGCCUCUCUCAUAAAUAAA
rnacentral:lncRNA from 1 species